rnacentral:tRNA from 1 species
AGGGCGUUAGUCUAAACAAGACUUCUGAUUUCGACUCGGAAAACUACGGUUAAAGUCCGUAACCCCCUU